rnacentral:rRNA from 1 species
UACGUAGGGUGCAAGCGUUGUCCGGAAUUAUUGGGCGUAAAGAGCUCGUAGGCGGUCUGUCGCGUCUGCUGUGAAAACCUGGGGCUUAACCCCGGGCCUGCAGUGGGUACGGGCAGACUAGAGUGCGGUAGGGGAGACUGGAAUUCCUGGUGUAGCGGUGAAAUGCGCAGAUAUCAGGAGGAACACCGGUGGCGAAGGCGGGUCUCUGGGCCGUAACUGACGCUGAGGAGCGGAAAGCAUGGGGGAGCGAACAGG